UACGUAGGGGGCAAGCGUUGUCCGGAUUUAUUGGGCGUAAAGAGCGUGUAGGCGGCCAGACAGGUCAGCUGUGAAAACUCGAGGCUCAACCUCGAGACGUCGGUUGAAACCGUCUGGCUAGAGUCCGGAAGAGGAGAGUGGAAUUCCCGGUGUAGCGGUGAAAUGCGCAGAUAUCCGGAGGAACACCGAAGGCGAAGGCAGUGUCCUGGCGAGUAUCCUGACGCUGAGGUGCGAAAGCCAGGGGAGCGAACGGG
rnacentral:rRNA from 1 species